rnacentral:rRNA from 1 species
GACGAACGCUGGCGGCGUGCCUAAUACAUGCAAGUCUAAGGGGUGUACAUCCUUCGGGGUGUGCAUCACUGGCGCACGGGUGAGUAACGCGUAAGUUAUCUGCCCCUGGGUCUGGCAUAACCUCGGGAAACCGGGACUAAUUCCAGAUGAUACCGAAAGGUCAAAGCUUCGGCGCCCAGGGAUGAGCUUGCGUCUGAUUAGCUUGUUGGCGGGGUAAUGGCCCACCAAGGCUUCGAUCAGUAGCCGGUCUGAGAGGAUGAUCGGCCACAUUGGGACUGAGACACGGCCCAGACUCCUACGGGAGGCAGCAGUAAGGAAUAUUGCGCAAUGGACGAAAGUCUGACGCAGCAACGCCGCGUGCAGGAUGAAGGCCCUUUUGGGUUGUAAACUGCUGUAGCAGGGGAAUAAGUUCUCCCUCGGGGAGAGUGAAGGCACCCUGAAAGUAAGCGCCGGCUAACUACGUGCCAGCAGCCG